GAGCCAAGUAGAUGCCAAAAAAGGAGGAAAUAGGAAAACGGAGAGUAAGGGAGAGAGAAAAAAAAAAUGGAGGCAGAUGGUCAGAACUGUAUGGCAAGAUGCCAGGGAGCCGCAAUGGCAACAGACCAAAGCAAAAGAAUUGAAUGGCAGUGAACUCUUCUACCUUGAUUUUGCAGCAUAGGAUCAAUAUCAUCAAUCUUGCAGGUGUGUGUGGAUUCACCUAGCUCUUCAAUAGCAAGUAUAACAGAAGGAUGCAACCCCACCAGUACACACUUUGCUGUAGCUAAACAUUUAUACGCUUGUAACAAGCAAUAAACAGAA